rnacentral:rRNA from 1 species
CCUACGGGUGGCAGCAGUGAGGAAUAUUGGUCAAUGGGCGGAAGCCUGAACCAGCCAAGUCGCGUGAGGGAUUAAGGCCCUGCGGGUCGUAAACCUCUUUUGCCGGGGAGCAGUGGUCCGGACGCGUCCGGACCGGGAGAGUACCCGGAGAAAAAGCAUCGGCUAACUCCGUGCCAGCAGCCGCGGUAAUACGGAGGAUGCGAGCGUUAUCCGGAUUUAUUGGGUUUAAAGGGUGCGUAGGCGGGCAUUUAAGCCGGCGGUGUAAUUCCGGGGCUCAACCUCGGCGCUACCGCCAAAACUAUUAGACUAGAGUGCAGGAGGGGUGAGUGGAAGUCCUAGUGUAGCGGUGGAAUGCGUAGAUAUUAGGAGGAACAUCAGGGGCGAAGGCGACUUACUGGACUGUAACUGACACUGAGGCACGAAAGCGUGGGGAGCAAACAGGAUUAGAUACCCGAGUAGUC